UGACUCAACUAAACUCUCUCUUCACUGCUC
rnacentral:piRNA from 1 species